UACGUAGGGGGCAAGCGUUGUCCGGAUUUAUUGGGCGUAAAGAGCGUGUAGGCGGUUCGGUAGGUCCGUUGUGAAAACUCGAGGCUCAACCUCGAGACGCCGAUGGAAACCCUCGAACUAGAGUCCGGAAGAGGAGAGUGGAAUUCCUGAUGUAGCGGUGAAAUGCGCAGAUAUCAGGAAGAACACCCGUGGCUAAGGCGGCUCUCUAGUACGGUACUGACGCUGAGACGGCGAAAGCGUGGGGAGCGAACAGG
rnacentral:rRNA from 1 species